GAUGAACGCUGGCGGCGUGCCUAAUACAUGCAAGUCGAACGCUGAAGCUUGGUGCUUGCACCGAGCGGAUGAGUUGCGAACGGGUGAGUAACGCGUAGGUAACCUGCCUCUUAGCGGGGGAUAACUAUUGGAAACGAUAGCUAAUACCGCAUAAAAGUCGAUAUCGCAUGAUAUUGAUUUGAAAGGUGCAAAUGCAUCACUAAGAGAUGGACCUGCGUUGUAUUAGCUAGUUGGUGAGGUAACGGCUCACCAAGGCGACGAUACAUAGCCGACCUGAGAGGGUGAUCGGCCACACUGGGACUGAGACACGGCCCAGACUCCUACGGGAGGCAGCAGUAGGGAAUCUUCGGCAAUGGGGGCAACCCUGACCGAGCAACGCCGCGUGAGUGAAGAAGGGUUUCGGAUCGUAAAGCUCUGUUGUAAGAGAAGAACGAGUGUGAGAGUGGAAAGUUCACACUGUGACGGUAACUUACCAGAAAGAGACGGCUAACUACGUG
rnacentral:rRNA from 1 species